UACGGAGGAUGCGAGCGUUAUCCGGAUUUAUUGGGUUUAAAGGGUGCGCAGGCGGCACGGCAAGCCGGCGGUCAAAUCGCGGGUCUCAACCCCGCCCAGCCGUCGGAACUGCCGGGCUAGAGUGGGCGAGAAGUGCGCGGAAUGCGUGGUGUAGCGGUGAAAUGCAUAGAUAUCACGCAGAACUCCGAUUGCGAAGGCAGCGCACCGGCGCCCUACUGACGCUCAGGCACGAAAGCGUGGGUAUCGAACAGG
rnacentral:rRNA from 1 species